UUGAAGCCCCAGUAAACGGCGGCCGUAACAAUAACGGUCCUAAGGUAGCGAAAUUCCUUGUCGGGUAAGUUCCGACCUGCACGAAUGGUGCAACGAUCUGGGCACUGUCUCAGCCAUGAGCUCGGUGAAAUUGUAGUCGCGGUGAAGAUGCCGCGUACCCGCAACGGGACGGAAAGACCCCAUGAACCUUUACUAUAGCUUCACAUUGAUAUUGGGUAAUUCAUGUGUAGGAUAGGUUGGAGACUUUGAUGCUGCGUCGCUAGGCGUAGAGUAGUCGUCCUUGAAAUACAACCCUUGAAUUAUCUGAUGUCUAACGUAUUAAUACGGACAUUGUGUGGUGGGUAGUUUGACUGGGGCGGUCUCCUCCCAAA
rnacentral:rRNA from 1 species